rnacentral:rRNA from 1 species
UGCCCUAGUAACGGCGAGUGAAGCGGCAACAGCUCAAAUUUGAAAUCUGGCGUCUUUGGCGUCCGAGUUGUAAUUUGCAGAGGGCGCUUUGGCAUUGGCAGCGGUCCAAGUUCCUUGGAACAGGACGUCACAGAGGGUGAGAAUCCCGUACGUGGUCGCUAGCCUUUACCGUGUAAAGCCCCUUCGACGAGUCGAGUUGUUUGGGAAUGCAGCUCUAAAUGGGAGGUAAAUUUCUUCUAAAGCUAAAUACUGGCCAGAGACCGAUAGCGCACAAGUAGAGUGAUCGAAAGAUGAAAAGCACUUUGGAAAGAGAGUUAAAAAGCACGUGAAAUUGUUGAAAGGGAAGCGCUUGCAGCCAGACUUGCCUGUAGUUGCUCAUCCGGGUUUUUACCCGGUGCACUCUUCUAUAGGCAGGCCAGCAUCAGUUUGGGCGGUUGGAUAAAGGUCUCUGUCACGUACCUCCUCUCGGGGAGAACUUAUAGGGGAGACGUAAUGCAACCAGCCUGGACUGAGGUCCGCGCAUCUGCUAGGAUGCUGGCGUAAUGGCUGUAAGCGGCCCGUCUUGAAACACGGACCAAGGAGUCUAACAUCUAUGCGAGUGUUUGGGUGUCAAGCCCGAGCGCGUAAUGAAAGUGAACGGAGGUGGGAACCUUUCGGGGUGCACCAUCGACCGAUCCUGAUGUCUUCGGAUGGAUUUGAGUAARAGCAUAGCUGUUGGGACCCGAAAGAUGGUGAACUAUGCUUGAAUAGGGUGAAGCCAGAGGAAACUCUGGUGGAGGCUCGCAGCGGUUCUGACGUGCAAAUCGAUCGUCAAAUUUGGGCAUAGGGGCGAAAGACUAAUCGAACUAUCUAGUAGCUGGUUCCUGCCGAAGUUUCCCUCAGGAUAGCAGUAACGUUUUCAGUUUUAUGAGGUAAAGCGAAUGAUUAGAGGCCUGGGGGUUGAAACAACCUUCACCUAUUCUCAAACUUUAAAUAUGUAAGAAGUCCUUGUUACUUAAUUGAACGUGGACAGUUGAAUGUAUCGUUACUAGUGGGCCAUUUUUGGUAAGCAGAACUGGCGAUGCGGGAUGAACCGAACGCGGGGUUAAGGUGCCAGAAUAUACGCUCAUCAGACACCACAAAAGGUGUUAGUUCAUCUAGACAGCAGGACGGUGGCCAUGGAAGUCGGAAUCCGCUAAGGAGUGUGUAACAACUCACCUGCCGAAUGAACUAGCCCUGAAAAUGGAUGGCGCUCAAGCGUAUUACCCAUACCCCGCCGCUGGGGCAAGAUUUAAGCCCCAGCGAGUAGGCAGGCGUGGAGGUCCGUGACGAAGCCUGG